GACACACAAACAAACUAGGGUUUCUCUCAUCUCUCAUUUGGUCUGCCGCUCAUCCUCUCAUCCUCUGCUCUGCGAUGCGAUGGCGACUUCAUCAGGCCUCUCUCUCGGAUCUCGCUAGAUCUCUCACCAGAUCUGUGAGGAUUUCACCAGAUCGAUGAAGGGUUUUGCCAGACCUAAAUUAUACUCCCACAUCCCAGGAAGCGCCGACGUCAAGAAAUAGUCCGAUGAUAUUGAUGAUGGAUUGUUUUGAAGGCUAAACAACUCAAAAAGGCUGUUUAAUUUGGUUUUUUUGUCACCUGAAACCCUAAUUCAUUCAUUGGAGGAGACGGCAGGUGUUGUGUCUGAAGGUGGUAGGGGCCUGAGCAUUUGGGAUGUUUUCUGCCUCACAAAUCCAGGUUGAACUGCCCAAGAUAUUCAAAUUAUGUGGCUCUCUAGCCUCUCCCUCAGAUGUGUCUUUGCUCAAAUCUUGGUAUCACCAGUCAGAUGGUUAAAGCUACCCAAGAAUCCAUUCAAAACACUAAAGAAUUUGAUAUAAGGUGACUAAUGCGAUUGAGAUGUUGGUCCGUAUGUCACACAGAGUUUAAGUAGAGGAUCAGAUCCACCAUCCGAUGUGCCUAAAGAAGCUUCUAAAGUGAUAAAUCCUAGAAGAAGCUUAGAGGAAGGAAUAUCUGGUCAAUAAAGCUCUUUCUCAGAUUUUAUAGUUGUUUUUAGAGAGCUUGAAAAUAAAUGUGUUUUGUUUUCAUAUAGGAAAGAAAAUACCUGAAUCAAAGAAUUGUUUGAAAAUAUUGAAAAGUUGGGGUAAAGUUUGAUUCAAUUGAAAGGCCGAAUCUUGGAAUGGAGAAUCCUGAUGGGAAUUUGUAAACUUUGUAGGUAUUUUAACAAAAAAACCUUUUUUAAACUAACCCGACCCGAACCCAUUCCGACCCGCCACCCAACCCGACCCGAAUCAAAGAUUCGCUACUUUUUUUUGGAUGAAUCCAUGUCGGAUCUGUGUAAUACUUUCAGAAUGUUGAAUUUGAUUUAUAUGAAGGUGUUUUGUUGUUCGUUGUUUCUUCGAAUUUCCAUUUGUUGUUUGUUUUUUCUUCGAAGCUCCAUGUGCGGAUGUUAAGUUGACUGAACAAAAUAACGACUCAACAGUAAGAUUCUUGAGCAGAUCGGUUGCAACUGAGACGAGAUCCUUUAGCAGUACAUGGCGGUCAAGGUUGGUUCCAACAACCCGAUUCCGAUUUAGCGGCCGCAUGUAUAUUUUUCGAGAACAAAGGUACUUUUCGUUUUCUGAAUGAAACUGUGUUACACGUGGUGGUGUACUUGCAGCAGUGGUCUGCAAUCAAGGUCAUUGCACCCUAUGUUGUUAUCCAAUGGAAACCUUAUUGAGCAAGGAGACCUUGAGGUCGUGUACAUGCUUGGACCAAGUUUUAUUUGGAUGUUUGGAAUUCAUUUGCUUACUUUUAAGUCAAAACAUUGAUAACCAAUGUGUUCCAGGGAGUCAUGAAAGCGGCCGUGAACACUCGAAUUCCAACAUCCAAGAGCAGGAUAGGAGCUAACAUAAGCCAUCAGUGUCUGAGUUCACCAGUUUCGUCACUAGCGAGUACAUACGUCUAUUUCAUCACCAACGAGUAUGUGCAUCCAUUAUAUUGAACCUCUCAUGGAUUAUCUGUCUAGAUACAAAUGAGGUUCGUGUCGGGUGAUGGUGAAGAGCACAUCAGGGAAGAGCCUGAUGGUGAAGAGCAAAUGCUAUGUUUAUUCAGCUUCAUUUAGUUCUUGCGGUGAUUUUCAGCUAUCAUUUUCAUCAGAUUCAACAAUAUGAUUAGGCGCAAGCGAGGCGUGAUUUUUGUAUUAAAAAACGGCUUAAGGCGUAGUGGAGGCUGAUCGAUAGAUGCCCCUUGCCUUUGAUGAAAUUACCGGAAGAUAGGACUCGUGUACCAGAUUUUGGAUCCAGAACGAGCACUUUACUAGCUUUUGUAACAGUUGCAACAUCUGAUCUAUCUUUUGGAUCAUCCGCAAUGCCUUGAGAAGUCAGAAGUAGCUGGGAGAGUGGGUACAGGAUAACAUCUAUGGUUGCAACACCUGAUCAAGCAGCAUAUAGUUUGGUUAAAUUCUUUCUUAAAGCUAUGCAUUUUAUGUUUGCUGAUUGGUUUCCCGGACCAAUUCUUUAUCUCUGGUCUUUCUGAAGACGAGAUCAUACUCAAUCGUGUUUUAAAGCCGUGUACAAACGAAUUAUUAGGGUGUAUCACGGAAAACAACAUUUUAGGAUCAUUAUUGUUAAACUACUCUUACCUGGAUUCCAAGUGAGCUGAUUUAUUUUUUAUAGUUUUGUAGCUCUUU